rnacentral:misc_RNA from 1 species
CUAUUUCUCUCUCUUCUUGUCCUAUCGUCGCUCUUUCCUUUUUUACUGUGAAAGAAGAGGGAAGGGAAAGAGAACGGUACCUGAGAAUCGAAUCAGACUGGUAUUGUGGUCAAUUUAAGUUGGCGAAAUGGCUGGUGGGGGUAAAAAGAAGGAGGUGAAGAAAGAGACUGGGUUAGGACUCUCCUUUAAGAAGGAAGAGAGCUUUGGAGAGUGGUAUUCAGAGGUGGUCGUCAAUGGUGAGAUGAUUGAGUACUAUGACAUUUCUGGCUGUUACAUUUUGAGGCCGUGGGCAAUGUCAAUUUGGGAGAUCAUGCAAGCAUUCUUUGAUGCUGAAAUCAAGCAAAUGAAAAUUAAGAACUGUUACUUCCCACUUUUUGUUUCAUCUAGUGUCUUGGAAAAGGAGAAGGACCACAUAGAGGGCUUUGCUCCAGAGAGGACAAAAUAUACUCUUGGUAGACCAUAAGUGAGCUGUAGAGAAUGUUCUUAAAUACCGGUGUACUCAUUGAAGAGACUUUUGUACUAGGUUGCUUGGGUGACAAAAUCUGGGAAAUCUGACUUGGAAAUUCCUAUAGCUAUUCGCCCAACUAGUGAGACAGUUAUGUACCCUUACUUUUCUAAGUGGAUAAGGGGACACAGAGACUUACCUUUGAAACUUAACCAGGGGUGCAACGUUGUUCGUUGGGAAUUUAGCAAUCCCACUCCAUUUAUCAGGAGCCGCGAAUUCCUUUGGCAGGAAGGCCAUACUGCAUUUGCGACAAAGGCAGAAGCAGAUGAGGAGGUCCUUCAAAUAUUGGAACUAUAUAGACGCAUAUAUGAAGAAUUCUUGGCUAUUCCUGUUAUAAAAGGGAGGAAAAGUGAGAUGGAGAAAUUUGCUGGUGGACUUUACACAACUAGUGUUUAGGCAUUUAUUCCCAACACUGGACGCGUUAUACAAGGUGCAACUUCUCAUUGUUUGGGCCAAAAUUUUGCAAAAAUGUUUGAGAUAAACUUUGAAAAUGAAAAGGGAGAGAAGGGUAUGGUCUGGCAGAACUCUUGGGCCUACAGCACUCGGACGAUUGGGGUGAUGGUGAUGGUUCAUGGAGAUGACAAAGGCUUGGUGCUGCCUCCUAAAGUGGCAUCUGUUCAAGUUAUUGUGGUUCCAGUGCCGUACAAAGAUGCUAAUACUCAAGGAAUCUUUGAUGCCUGCACUGAAACUGUGGAUACUUUAUGUAAAGCAGGCAUUCGGGCAGAGGCUGAUUUUAGAGACAAUUACUCGCCUGGUUGGAAAUACUCUCACUGGGAAAUGAAAGGUGUUCCCUUAAGGAUUGAAAUUGGGCCAAAAGACUUAGCAAAUAAUCAGGUACGGGCUGUUCGUCGUGACAAUGCAGCAAAAAAAGAUAUAAGCAGGGUCAAUCUGGUUGAGCAAGUAAAAUGUAUACUGGAUGACAUUAAUCAAAGUUUGUUUGACGCUGCUAAGCAAAAGCGGGAUGCUUGCAUUCAAGUUGUAAAGACUUGGGAUGAGUUCAAGGAGGUUCUUAGCCAAAGGAAAAUGAUCUUGGCUCCUUGGUGUGAUGAGGAGGUAUCGUAUCAUCAUUAUAAAGUUCUCAAUAUUGCUCAUUAUAUUAAUUUUCUGUUGCUGCGAAGUUCUGCCUUGAUGCCUAGGAUUUUCAUUGACAUAUCAAUAUCUUUGAUUUAAUUUAUUAUGAUACCUGGCCUUGUUUCUGCUUCAAUUAUUAUGGAGGGAGUAUCAUAUAAUGAAGUGCUGGUUUGGAUAUGUUUCUACAUUUUGCCUAGAUAUUUUCCUCCUUGUGAACAGUUCUAGGAAUUGAAUGCUGGUUCAUUAUUGGUUGUAAGAUAUGGAGGAGAACAAUACGAUUUGUCUUAUGUUAUAAGCAGAAGAUGUUUUUUUUGUAUUAUAAGCAGAAUGAAUCUUCUCAUAUCCCUCAAGCGCUAUAAGCAGAAGGUGUUUUUUCUAUCCUCCUUGGAUUAUCCUUGAAGGUAUCUUUUGUGACGUAAUAUUGUACAGGAGGUAGAGCAAGAUGUGAAAGAGCAAACAAGAGGUGAGAUGGGAGCAGCCAAGAGCCUUUGUACUCCGUUUGAAUAGCCAGAGCUACCUGAAGGUACAAAAUGCUUUGCCUCUGGAAAGCCUGCAAAGAAAUGGUCCUACUGGGGCAGAAGUUAUUAGGGCCCCUUUGCAAUUUUAGCCCCUAGUUUUUAAUGUCAGAAUAUACGGACAUUUUAAAUUUUGUUUUUCAAAACUGUACUUGAUACCUGACUUUGGGUUUUUCUUGAAUUGUUGUGCAAACCAAAAAGAGGUUGUCAGAUUAUUUAUAUACUGUCAUUGAUGACAUCCAUUCUCAGCGCAGUUGUAUUUGAUGCAAAUCUUAAUUUUAUGUAUGGGACUUUUUAACAGAAUAUGGGUUUGGUUACAUUUGGUACAUUUUAAUAUCAUUGACAAAUUUCAAAUGCCUUUCAUUACCUUUCAUCACCAACUGAGAAGCUUAGAAAUUUCCAUUGAAGAAUCCGCCCAUUUUCACAGGCAUGUAAUAGUUGCUUAACACAGUUUGGCAGUUCGAAAUUG